GACGAACGCUGGCGGCGUGCUUAACACAUGCAAGUCGAACGGAAAGGCCCUGCUUUUGCUGGGUGCUCGUGUGGCGAACGGGUGAGUAACACGCGAGUAACCUGCCCUUGACUUUGGGAUAACUCCAGGAAACAGGGGCUAAUACCGGAUAGGAGCUCCUGCUGCAUGGUGGGGGUUGGAAAGUUUCGGCGGUUGGGGAUGGACUCGCGGCUUAUCAGCUUGUUGGUGGGGUAGUGGCUUACCAAGGCUUAGACGGGUAGCCCGCCUGAGAGGGGGGCCGGCGACAAGACGACUAAGAGAGGGAGCAGACGCGUACGGUAGGCAGCGGGGGGAAAUCUUACACAGCGGGGCGGAGCGAGAUACGACGGCCUUGCGUGCGGAAAGACGGCUUUCGAGGUAAGAACCGCUUUCGACGGAGACGAGGCGUGAGUGACGGUACUGGAUAAAGAAGCACCGGCUAACUACGUG
rnacentral:rRNA from 1 species